CUGGCGGCAGGUCUAACACAUGCAAGAAGAACGCCCGGGGCAACCCGGGAGUGGCAGACGGGUGAUUUACCCGUGGGAACGUGCCCUUCGGUUCGGAAUAACUCAGGGAAACUUGGGCUAAUACCGGAUACGUCCGCGAGGAGAAAGAUUCAUCGCCGAAGGAUCGGCCCGCGUCCGAUUAGCUAGUUGGUGGGGUAAUGGCCCACCAAGGCGACGAUCGGUAGCUGGUCUGAGAGGAUGAUCAGCCACACUGGGACUGAGACACGGCUCAGACUCCUACGGGAGGCAGCAGUGGG
rnacentral:rRNA from 1 species